rnacentral:lncRNA from 1 species
GAAAGCCGUAGGGUUGUGGGCAAGCGAUGGCCGCUGUGUCUGUAGUUACACCAGCACGUGAGAGUGGGGCUAACAGGCUCCUUCAUACGUGUUUAUUCAACACGUAUUUAUUGAACUCGUUCUUACGCCAGAUUUUUGCCACAUGUUGCUGUGUGAUUUCAAGUUAUUCCUUGAAAGGCUAGAAAAUUUACUUUUCAUCAUUAAUACGUUGCCGUUGGGACUUGAAAAGGAUGAGCCUGAAUGCUGUGUGAUUGUUAGAAUCACUGGUACAACCAGCAGAGACUGAUCUCGAGACAAGCAUCUUCAAUGGAGGAGAAACUAAAGACUGGAGGGCACGAACUCCACAAUUGUAGAGGUGUUCUCUCCAGCUCAAAACAACGGUGCAUUGACUGGACAGAAACGCCAAUUGCUAGCACUAAGCCCUGCCGAGUGAACAGGGGAAUUCAAAGAGGCCUGCACUAUGGAAACUGGCACAUUUCAACAGUGUUAAAAUUUACAGUCAACUUUUUUUUUUUCCAGUUUAAAAUGGUUUCCAGCAUCUUCAAACAGCAACUGGUAUAAAAUUUUGAAUAUGUGCUUGUUUUAAGUUCUUAAUCUUUACAUUUAAAACAGUUAUUCCUAAACCCCUUUGCUUAAUUGCAAAACAAAU